CAGAGUGAAAAUAAGCUUAGCGCCCCCUCGCGGCCCAAGUGCGCAUAUGCAUUUAACGUUGUUGUGCUGCAAUCUCUACAGGGGCGAUGAAAAAAUCUUUGGCGAAUGUUGUGGCAUCUGGCGCUGACACGACCAACUCUCUCUGUCUGUCCCCAACAGUUUAUUUAUUUCGCAAGAAUUCCGUGGAGGAAACAUUUUUUUCCAUGUUUGAAGUCUUGCUUGGUGAUGGAAUGAGUCAUUUUCUGAAGCAAUGAGAUGGAAGGAACCUUCAUAGCAUCCAACAAACAAGGAUUUCUAUGAGGCAUUGUGUUUUCCACAUUGCAGACCUCUGUAUCACCAACUUAAAUGAGCCUCCACCUGUCCACCAUGAUCUCCCCCAAACUUAAUCCACACCUCUUCAGGAAUUGCCCCAUCGUGAGUUGUGAGAAAUCCAUUCCUGUGGAAAGAUGAUGGAACAUGAACAUAUGGUCUGUGACUCUGCUAUGGACCUAGUGAAUCACUGUUGACUGUCCAUAGUUCAAGUGAGGAUUGGCAAACCUGGUCAUUUCUUGAUUACCUACAGGAUGCAAUUGCAACAUAUGCAAAAUCUUAUGCAGGAAUGGGGCUAUAGCAGUGAUGGGACACUACAUUUGACUGUGAAGAUCAGACGAUGCAAUUCCCGUUGGUCAGCCCCCCCCCCACCCCAAGGAGCCAUGCACUGCCAGAGAUCUUGAGCCAGGUCUUCAGUGGUUAUCCAUUGAUAAGAAGAACGGAGAUAAUAAAGACAGUGAGGUAUCUUGUUGAUUUCGACGUGACCAUCUUCCUAACGCUUCUUCCAAACAAUGAACUGGAGGCUCUUUCCACGAAUGAAUGUUUAGCUGCUUCAAGUGUGAUUCCAGCUUUUUCAAGAGCUUCUUGUUGUUCUACUUCUACUGGCCUUUAUUGUAGUUAACAUGUCCUGUGAAUGUUUUUAGGAGCCCAGUUUUGCUACAAACACAGUAAACCUCAAGUUCACAUAUAGUUAAAAAACGGUCUACUUGUAACAUUAUCUAGGAAAAAGUUCUACAAAUUGGACAUGGUGAAACUUUUCAUUCAUUAUGUUUUCAGUAUUUACUGAGGUACUCACUACAAAAG